CUCUGGGGGCGUCGAGGGUUCCGUGAGGCUGCCUUCCCCACUCGGCCGCUGCUGCCCCGGGCGCUCAUGUUCAUCUUCAGCUUUAUGAAGGAACCAGGGGCAGGAGGAGAAUGGAGUUCUCGGACCUUCUUUACCGCAAAGGUGGCCGCGAGUAAUUGGAGCACCUGCUCUUUGCUGGAUUCUGUGCCGGCUGCUGGUCUGCGACAGAAAUGGAGACAGCUACGGGCCUCAUCCUCACAGAACUGA
rnacentral:lncRNA from 1 species